rnacentral:rRNA from 1 species
AUGGCGGCAUGCCUAACACAUGCAAGUCGAACGAAGUUCUUCGGAACUUAGUGGCGGACGGGUGAGUAACGCGUGAGAAUCUGCCUUUUGGAUGGGGACAACAGCGAGAAAUCGCUGCUAAAACCCAAUAUGCCAGUUAGSUGGUGAAAUAUUUAUAGCCAGAAGAGGAGCUCGCGUCCGAUUAGUUAGUUGGUGGGGUAAGAGCCUACCAAGGCAGCGAUCGGUAGCUGGUCUGAGAGGAUGAGCAGCCACACUGGGACUGAGACACGGCCCAGACUCCUACGGGAGGCAGCAGUGGGGAAUUUUCCGCAAUGGGCGAAAGCCUGACGGAGCAAUACCGCGUGAGGGAGGAAGGCUUUUGGGUUGUAAACCUCUUUUUUAAAGGAAGAAGAAAGUGACGGUACUUUAAGAAUCAGCAUCGGCUAACUCCGUGCCAGCAGCCGCGGUAAUACGGAGGAUGCAAGCGUUAUCCGGAAUCAUUGGGCGUAAAGCGUCCGCAGGUGGCUGUUCAAGUCUGCUGUUAAAGACAGAAGCUCAACUUCUGAACAGCAGUGGAAACUGGACGGCUAGAGUACGGUAGGGGUUGAGGGAAUUCCCAGUGUAGCGGUGAAAUGCGUAGAUAUUGGGAAGAACACCAGUGGCGAAGGCGCUCAACUGGGCCGUAACUGACACUCAGGGACGAAAGCUAGGGUAGCGAAAGGGAUUAGAUACCCCUGUAGUCUUAGCUGUAAACGAUGAACACUAGGCGUUGCUUGUAUCGACCCGAGCAGUGCCGUAGCCAACGCGUUAAGUGUUCCGCCUGGGGAGUACGCACGCAAGUGUGAAACUCAAAGGAAUUGACGGGGGCCCGCACAAGCGGUGGAGUAUGUGGUUUAAUUCGAUGCAACGCGAAGAACCUUACCAGGACUUGACAUCUCGAGAACUGAACCUAAUAGUUCACGUGCCUUCGGGAACUCGAAGACAGGUGGUGCAUGGCUGUCGUCAGCUCGUGUCGUGAGAUGUUGGGUUAAGUCCCGCAACGAGCGCAACCCUCGUUCUUAGUUGCCAGCAUUAAGUUGGGCACUUUAGGACGACUGCGAUGACAAACCGGAGGAAGGUGGAGAUGACGUCAAGUCAGCAUGCCCAUUACGGUCUGGGCUACACACGUACUACAUGAUUGGGAUAGCCGAAG